rnacentral:rRNA from 1 species
AGCGGCGGACGGGUGAGUAACGCGUGGGUAACCUGCCCUAUACACACGGAUAACAUACCGAAAGGUAUGCUAAUACGAGAUAAUAUAAGAGAUUCACAUGGAUUUCUUAUCAAAGCUGAGGAGGUAUAGGAUGGACCCGCGUCUGAUUAGCUAGUUGGUAAGGUAACGGCUUACCAAGGCGACGAUCAGUAGCCGACCUGAGAGGGUGAUCGGCCACAUUGGAACUGAGACACGGUCCAAACUCCUACGGGAGGCAGCAGUGGGGAAUAUUGCACAAUGGGCGAAAGCCUGAUGCAGCAACGCCGCGUGAGUGAUGAAGGCCUUCGGGUCGUAAAACUCUGUCCUCAAGGAAGAUAAUGACGGUACUUGAGGAGGAAGCCCCGGCUAACUACGUGCCAGCAGCCGCGGUAAUACGUAGGGGGCUAGCGUUAUCCGGAUUUACUGGGCGUAAAGGGUGCGUAGGUGGUCUCUUAAGUCAGGAGUGAAAGGCUACGGCUUAACCAUAGUAAGCUCUUGAAACUGGGAGACUUGAGUGCAGGAGAGGAAAGUGGAAUUCCUAGUGUAGCGGUGAAAUGGCGUAGAUAUUAGGAGGAACACCAGUAGCGAAGGCGGCUUUCUGGACUGUAACUGACACUGAGGCACGAAAGCGUGGGGAGCAAACAGGAUUAGAUACCCUGGUAGUCCACGCCGUAAACGAUGAGUACUAGGUGU